CGGAGCGUAGCGCAGCCUGGUAGCGCACUUGCAUGGGGUGCAAGGGGUCGCGAGUUCGAAUCUCGCCGCUCCGACCA
rnacentral:tRNA from 4 species